rnacentral:misc_RNA from 1 species
AGAUUUUACAACUUAAGAUUCAGAAUCAGAUGCAGGCUCAACAGUCGGCAGGUCCAGCAAAAGCAUGAGACACAGAAGCUGGGUGCAAGACACAGUCACUAGGCAUCCUUUGUAGAGCAGGCCAGGUGUCCACUGAAAUCUAGAACUUUGUCUUUACACUGCCUGGAGUAAUUCUAUUGACUGUCUAUGGAGCCAUGUGAUUAGUGUUCAUACCUCUGUAAUGUUCUGUAGCAUAAUCUCAUCAAAUUAAUGUAUUACACAAUUAAAACUUGAUCAACUUCUC